UAUGCCCUUUCAUUUUUAGUAAAGUUGGAAGCAUCCUCAAUACAAAUAUUAUAUUCUCCAUCUAUAUUUUUUUUUAUAUUGACAAGCAAGUUUCACCCUCCAAUUUUUUAUUUUUUUUAUAUUGUCGUCAGGGGGAAAAUGUAUUUAACAAAAACAGUAAAGAAACUAGUUACAGAGCGUAUAUAUUCAAAUAUGUAUAAUGCCCGUGCGUGUUGCGUCACGUGCAUCAUGGUUACCGAGCGUAUAUAUUCGAAUUUGUUCCUUUUGAUAUACACACAGCCAUGUCUCCUAAAAACAUACCACCAUUUCCAAAGGUAUGUCUUUUAAAGGUAUCAAGCCUUUGGAUACUGCCACUUUGGUAUGUGAUCUAACCAAGCAAUCCUAGGCAUUUUGGGGUCUCUAAUCUGGGGUUCACGUUCACCCCAUAGGUGGUUCAUCAGGGUAGUGAUAAAGUAAGAAUCUCCCAUCACACAAUUGGACCUAAAUUUACAUAUGCCUUCUUCUUUCAUCUACACCGUCAGUGCAAAUUUUUUUUUAAACAAAUAAAAAAUGGGCAUUUACCAAAUGAUAUAAAUAUUUACCCAAAAUAGACAGUAUUUACAUGGUCAUACAUCAUACAGCUGGCUCUAUAUAACCCAAAAAAAAAGACCAAAAAAUCCAACAACAUAAGCUCAACACUACCAACACUAUAGAAACAAAUCAAGCAUACAAAAAAUUAAGACCAACAACAACAAUUAAACCUGAUUGUACUGAAACUGAAAGGACCAAAACUCAAAAAUUAUGAAAAAGAAAAAAACUACUAAAACUGUAUGGUGGUAGGCAUUGUCACUGACCCUCUAAAUACACUCGAAUUACAAACCAAUAAUAACCACUAAAUGAUCCAAAACAUCUAUUACGCAGCAAAGUAAAGCUGAAAGUCCAAAAUACAAGCUUUCGUUUAUGUUGUAAAAUUAGGGACCUGAAACAUUACACAAAGACAAACUGUAGUUCAAACAUCAACAAUGAAAUCUGGAAAUAUCGAAAUUCAAAAGAAGUCUAAAAAAUGGACCCAAAUUUUAAGCAAUAACAACCACCAAUCAUUCUGAGUUUCGAGUCGUUUCUACCCUAAAUCCGAACCUCUGUUCUUGGAUCUUUACACAUCUCCGAGUUUUUCAACUCCCAUUAUCACCACAAUUAUCAUCAACACCAUCGUCCUUACCACAAACACCAUCACAACCACAACCACAUCAUUACCAAACAGUUUCGUCAUGAUCACCAACAAAAAAACCACCGUUGACCGUUGUAAAACAGAUCCACUACCACGAGGUCCACCACCAUCUUCAAACAGAUCUGUCACCGCCACCAACAUAGCCACCACAAACAGUUGAUUAAAGUGAUAAAACAAAAUAAAGGAAAAACGGAAACAAUCAACCAAUGGACUCAUAUCCACACAUCAUCAUUAGGAGUUGCAACUGAAAUAAUCGCAGGCAAAUGGCUAAAACUCUGGAUCGAAAUCGGGGAAGUCUUAUCCACCAUCGGCUUAUUCGAAACAUUGUUAAGCAGUUGCACGUUUCAAACACUCAGUAUGGCGGAUUCGGGUUCCUACCGAAGUUUUCAAGCUCCGGUCAAAGUGAUUCAACACUCCAUUGUUUGGGGAUGUUGUUGGAGUUGCUUCUUUUUGUGGCCAGGAAGAAAGUUUCCAACGUUAAAACGACUGUUUAAAGUGCCAGGACAAGCUUUGUUGAUGGAGUUUAUGUGUUUGAUACCUUCUGGUGAUUCACAUGUUUGUAAAGUUGAUGCGGGAAAUGGAGACGGUGGGUUUUUUUUGUGACAAUUGGCAUUUUUCAUGUAAUUUUCGUACAAAGUAAACAGUAUUUUAUAUGUUA